GGGGAUAUAGCUCAGUUGGUAGAGUACUUGCCUUACAUGCAUAAGUCCCUGGAUUCAAUCCCCAGCACCA
rnacentral:tRNA from 1 species